AAUAUUGGACAAUGUGGGCAACCCUGUUCAAGCCAUGCCGCGUGUGUGAAGAAGGACUUCGGAUUUUAAAGCACUCUAAGUUGGGAGGACGGGCUUAAGGUUAUUACCAUGAGGUUUUGAAUUUACCAACAGAAUAAGCACCGGCAACUUCUGUGCCAGCAGCCGCGGUAAUACAGAUGGUGCAAGCGUUAAUCGGAAUUACUGGGCGUAAAGCGCGCGUAGGUGGUUCAGUAAGAUGGGUGUGAAAUCCCCGGGCUUAACCUGGGAACUGCUUUCAUAACUGCUGAGCUAGAGUACGGUAGAGGGUAGUGGAAUUUCCUGUGUAGCGGUGAAAUGCGUAGAUAUAGGAAGGAACACCAGUGGCGAAGGCGACUACCUGGACUGAUACUGACACUGAGGUGCGAAAGCGUGGGGAGCAAACA
rnacentral:rRNA from 1 species